rnacentral:lncRNA from 1 species
UGAUAGAUUUUUUGCUAUUGUAGAGACAACACAAAAUAAAAUAUUAAACAACUUAAUAAGGGUUAAUGAUUUAUCAUUUUGUGUUUUUGUUUGUGACAUUGGUGUUAAUGGUACUAACCUUAGAAGCUAGAAAAAUCUCUUCCGUGGGUGAAUUCUGUGGGCAUCUGGGGUUUGGGAUAGAGUUAACCAAAAAUUAUUAGGCAUGCUCUUGUGUCUAAAUAUCAGUCACUUCCCCGAGCACUCUUUCCUUCCGUUGUCAUUGUGGUGGUUUGAAUGAGAGUGACCCCAGAGGGUCAUAUGUUUGAAUAAUUGGCUCCCAGUUAGUGAACUGUUUGGAAAAAAUGAGAUGUGGCCUUGUUGGAGAAGACAGAUCGCUGGAGUUGGUCUUUGAGGUUUCAAAAGAUGCAUGCUGUUCCCAGUGUGCUCUGUCUCCUGCCUGUGGUCUGAGAUGUGAGCUCCCAGCUGUUCCUACCACCAUCAAGGUACUCUUGCUGUUGCUCCAUCAUCGCAGACUCUAACCCUCUGGAAUCAUACGUUCAAUCAGGGCCUGUGUGGCUGUGCCACCAGCAAUCUUUCAACACUGAAAAGGACAAAGAAAAUCCAUUACUCUGUUACAAGAAGAAAGAAUUUCUAUGGCAAAAAGGAUGAUGAGAAGAAUGGCUAAUGGGUUUACAGGAACUCUUAACACAAAGCUGGGUGUUCAGAUACCAAGAGUUUGUAAAAAAAAAAAGAAAAAAAUACGCAAUCCAAGGCAAGCAGUCAAGGACCACAAGACAAUGUGUGUAUGAAGUAAGUCACUGAUACCUGUUUAGGAAUAAUAUGACAAGUUACAAAACAUUCCAUUUUGAGCCUCCUUUGCAUCAAUGAAGAAUCAUGAACUCUUUCCAUUAUAACAUCUUCCUUUUGUAUUCUGGUUUUUUUGUUUGUUUCUUUGUAUACAUCAAUGUGUUUGCAAAUCUUAUAUCUAGAAUAUGUUUUUCACUUCCUACAGGAGGUUUCCUGCAAAGCACGUUGCAAUAGAAAAGC